rnacentral:lncRNA from 1 species
CCCUGUAGUUUAGAAGCAUAAUACAUACACCCCCUAUAGUUUAUAUAUCUGACAGUUACACCCCCUAUACUAUUAUCAUAUGGCACAGACACCUCCUAUUUAAUAAAAAAGGUGAAUAUAGAUACCUAGGCCGAUGGGGUUGUGGAACCUGAUACAAGAUGUUUUCCGUACAUCUAUAAAUUCAUCCAUAUAUCUAUAGAUUCUGUAUCACAAACCAAAAAAAUCGCAGACC